rnacentral:lncRNA from 1 species
UGAAAUACAAAUGAUCAAAAUAACAAAAUAUAUAUUAUUAUACACACGUGCUGAAUAUAAAUAUUAAAAAUAUCACUUUAUACAAAAUAAUAGAUUUAACGGUCGAAAACUUAUGAGUACAAAAAAAUUUAUACUCAUAAGAGUAUAGUAGCCGGACACACACACACACACUCUCUCUCUCUCUCUCUCUCUAUAUAUAUAUAUAUAUUUGAGAGAAUAAUGUUUUAUCUUUUUUUUUUUGAGAAAAGGUAGCAUGCUACCGCUUCAUUCAUUACGCAAAUGAACUCGGGUACAAAGUGGAAGCAAAGG